rnacentral:tRNA from 1 species
GGCGGGCCAGGGCGUGGCACGCCUCGAGCGUGUCGGGCUCGGCGACGUGCACGACGUCGUCGAUGUAGGACUCGUCGAGCGCCUCC